rnacentral:lncRNA from 1 species
AUCCCCUGGCCCUGGCUGACUCGCCACCCCCGACACUGCAGCGCCUGCCGACCUCGGGGCCCCGCCCUCUGCCUUCGCUCGCGCCGCUCUCCUUCAGUCUCCCCAGGGCCUGUUUCAUGGAUAGGGUCCCCUUGCCCGCGUGAAAGUCUCAUUCCUCCUCAGCUCAGAAACACUCCAAGGUGCGGGGACUCGUGGAAGGAUUUGAUUCGCGCUUGAGAAAGAUCGCUCCGCUCCUGUAAGGAAGAGAGCGUGUAGGGGCUGCAACCAGAGACACAGUCAGAAGCUCCGAGGCUACCGCGAUGGUCCAGGUGCCACAGGACACAGCCUAACAGAGGCCCAGGUUGGAGCCAUGGACCAUGGAGUCAUGAGAAUGGAAGGGAAGCUGACGCCAUGUGGGAUGGGGUAGAACUGUCCGCAAAUUCGUCCCGCCUCUGGAGUCUUCAGACCAGUCAAGGCCGAAAUUCAACCAAGCCUCUCCUCUCUCUAGCUGUUAUUUGUUUGCAGCACGCGGUCUGGUGGCACCCUGCAGGAUUUACCAGCUUUUUGCCAACAUUCUGGCCUAUGCAAUCAAUACGUCCCUUCAGCGUUGCACUUGGAUGGAUUGGACCUAUAGUUGUUAUAUAUGGAUAUUGUCUAAUUUAUUUAUUACAGUAUUAACUGACUCCUAUGUUCUGGCCUUCAGAAUUUCUCCUUUGGAUCAAUUACUAGCCUGUCUUACAUUUUCUGCUUCAUUCUUUUAAAAUGUUUAGAGAUGAUUUGCUAAGUUUUCUUCAUUGCUGUCAAUGAUGCAAUUUAAACUGUCAAAAAAAUUUUUUCUCAAGCAGGGUAGUAAUGGUGAACCAUUCCCUUGCUAUUCAGACAGCAUGGUUUAGAUGAGGCGCACCUAUCCCCAGCUUUAGGAAUGGAAACAGGACCCAAGUCUGGCUAAUCAGAGACUGGUUUAGGGUCGGCCCCAUGGUCUGAGCCAGACCAAUGAGAAUUGGUAGAGGGACUUCCUUUUGCAACUUCUAUUUUAGAAUCGGGGGUAUAUAUGCAGGCUUGUUACAGAGGUAUAUUGCAUGGUGCUGAGGUUUGGAGUAUGAACGAAUCCGUCCUUCAGGUAAUGAGCAUAGUACCCAAUAGGUAGUUUCAACCCUUGCCCCCUUCCUCCUUCCCCAGUCUUGUAUUCCCCAGUGUCUGUUGUUCCCAGACAUUGAUCUUUUUCCUCUAUGUUGCUAAGCUGGUAGAAAGGCUGGAGUUGCUGGCAACCAUCUUUGCAACCAUGCAGGGAGAACUACUUUGGAAAUGAAGCAAGAUAAAGAAGAAAACAGAUAAAAGGAGACAAAUGUUUGACUUUGUACAGCUGGAAACCAGCAAUGCUGGAAAUGAGCACUGAAGGCAGUUUAAUGGGUUUGUCACUUGUAACCAAGUGACCCAUGGCAAGCUCACAGAUUUGUAUUGGCAGAAUUCCUCCUUUUCUUUAUUUAAAAUGGUACUUUUGGCCAGGCAAGGUGGUUCACACCUGUAAUCCAAAGACUUUGGGAGGCCGAGGCGCACUGAUCACCCAAGGUCAGAAGUUCGAGAACAGCCUGGCCAACAUUGGCGAAACCCCAUCUCUACUAAAAAUACAAACCAUUAGCUGGCUGCGGUGGCCUUUCUACCAGCUUUUUGUCUCAAAAAAAAAAAAAAAAAAGGUACUUUUGCUUAUCUCUAACCUUCCUCUUCCCCAUAAUUUAACAGUUGCCCAUACUAUCUGUUACUCUGAGCUACUCUCUGCCCCAUUCUCCUCCUCUUAUCUUCAGUUCCUCCUAGGCUGUCAGAGCCAUCUGAAAUGAAAACAUUUAGGCCGGGCAUAGUGGUUCAUGCCUGUAAUCCCAGCACUUUGGGAGGCUGAGGCAGGCGGAUCAGCUGAGGUCAGGAGUUCAAGACCACCCUGGUCAACAUGGUGAAACCCCAUCUCUACUAAAAAUACAAAAAUUAUCCAGACAUGGUGGCACAUGCCUCUACUCCCAGCUACUUGGGAGGCUGAGGCAGGAGAAUCGCUUGAACCUAGGAGGCAGGGGUUGCAGUGAGCCGAGAUUGAGCCACUGCACUCUAGCCUGGGCGACAGAGUGAGACUUUGUCUAAAAAACAUAAAUAAAAUAAAAUGAAAUGAAAACAUUUGCUACUUGAAAUCCUUCAGAUUCCCCAUCGCCUACCUACAGGCAAAACUCUCAAGUUCUUUUGUAUGAUUUAACCACUAUCUACCUGUCCAACUGAAAUCUACCCUUCAGUAAUAUUAUACUUGCACCUCCCUUCAUAAGCUAUGCUACAAGUUUGGUUAUGCAGUUGCCCACCUUUUAAGGUUCAAGCCUUGUCUUCUCCAAAGAGCCACCUCUGACUGCCUCACAGUAAGCUUAGGGCCCGCAACUUACCUGUAACUUUUGUUGCACUUAUGGCCUUUUACAACUAUCAAUUUAUGUAUGUGUCUGUUCUCACUGGUUUAUAAGCUCCCUGAGGACAGAGCCUUGCUUGAGUCAUCUGUCAGCAGCCCAAUAUGGGACAAAAAGUGCAUGCAUUGUAAUUACUGAACAGAACUGAUAGAGGCUCAGCAAUUUGCGCUCCAUAGGUCUAAGUUUGAACUUUUCUAGAAAAGGAUUUGCAGGACGAUCUGACGAAUCUUGGGCUUCCAAAUUAGUUCCAACAGUUCUAGUAUUUUUUUUUUUUUUUGACAGAAGCAAAUAAGUAAGUUUUACUUUGUGAUUAAAACAAAAGUGAAAUGCAUUUAGUCCCAGGAAAUGUCAAUCCUUUCUGCAUCUUACUUUUUUUUGCUGUGACCUCGAGAUUCUCUUGUUCUCUUCAGUUGUAUUGGUCCAUGAUCACUCAUAGCUUUCAUACACAUAUAUACAUCUGAAACUCAGAAAAUUCAUUAGGUAGGAACUCUUUGGAUGCAUCUCCUUUUUUAACCUCAUUGGGAUGAUUUUUCGUUGCACCAUCAUUUUAUAGAGCUUCCUAGCACUGCUGAGCAUGCAGAAUUUUUGCAAAUGCAAUCCAGAGAAACAGACUUGCUAUAUACUAGCUAUUUGAACUUGUCUGAGCUUAUGUGGCAUGGUCUAAAGAAUACUGAAAUAUUUCUGGCAUACCUCUUAAUUGCAGUCACUUUCUCCAGGUUGCUUUAUGGAUUAAAUGAGAUAACCUACUAAAGGACUCCAGUAAAAAGCUAAAAAGGUAGCUAGCUUUUGAGGUGUUGUGGCAGACUGGCAUCUAGUGGCCAGCGAUAAAGGUGCAGACUAGUGUCCACACCUAAGUGGGGACAGUGCAGGCUGUAAUGUCCAUACCUAGUGGGGACAUCAAUGGGGUAUUUGUCAGAGAAGCUCCAUGGCAUAGUUUGGACAUUGUUUCUGGCUGUGCAGGUUCAAACCCAGAGUCUGGCUCUCCCAAAGAUUAUCUGAGUUAUUCUAUUAUUUUACAAAGUUUGAAAUAGCCAUUAGAUACCCUUACAAACUUAUCAUUUUUGUGAUUGAUUUUAAGUCUACUGAAAAUGUCAAAAGAAAUCCAAAACUGAUUGCUAGUAACUAGGCCAGGUGUGGUGGCUCACACCUGUAAUCCCAGCACUUUGGGGCCGGGGCAGGCAGAUUGCUUGAGCUCAGGAGUUCGAGACCAGCCUGGGCAACAUGGCAAAACUCCAUAUUUACAAAAAAUACAAAAAAUUAGCCGGACAUGAUGGUGUGUGCCUGUUGUCCCCGCUACUAGAAGGCUCAGAAAGAAGGAUCACUUGAGCCUGGGAGGCGGAGGUUGCAGUGAGCCAAGACUGUGCCACUGCACUCCAACCUGGGCAACAGAGACCCCAGCUCAAAAAAAUAAAAUUAGUGUUAACUUGUACUGUUUAGCCACAUUCAUUAAGUUUUUAAUUUUAACUCUACUAUCGCACAACCAGGAAUGUACAAGAGAUCUGGAGCCUGAUUUGCAUGGCAGGAAGGAGACCACGUAUUUUUGUUUGGGAUGGGUUUUAGCCACUAUCAGAGACAUAGUUUGUUUCUUAGGGGUUCGGUCCCAGUAGUAUGAUACUUAGUUCAUUUAGGAACUUCCUUUUUUAACGGCUAAGAAAACAUUUUAGCUACUAAAUGAUAUGCAAAGAUAACUUUCCAAAUUUAAGCUGUACUCAAAAAUCCACAGAAUCUGCAAAACUCUCAAGUUUCUAUAUUUAAAUAGAAAUGUGUGUUGAUAUACAUACUUUAAUCAGUCAUUUCUUGCUUUCAAUAUAUUUUAUUCUGACGAAGUUACAAAAGUAGAUACAAAAUACUUUUUUUAGAAGUACAGUUAACUGACUUAGAAAAAUAGAUAAAGCCCCUAAGGAUUUUAAAACACAACAUAAAUUUUUAUGUAAAGAACAUUUAAAAAUAUUUUAGAUGGUAACCAAAACUAACUUACACAAACUAUUUUUGAUGUAGAAUAGAAUGCUGUUCUAUAAUAAGAAGUCUGUAGCACACUGGUAAUCCAUUUGGAUCUACAGAAUACUUGUUUGGAACAGAAUCUGAUAAUGAGAGAAAACUCAAAUGAAUGUCAGUGCAGUUGCUUCAAAAAAAUUACUGCUACCACAUGUACUAUCAUCCCCCAAGGCCUUUUACAGUCUGAAAUAUCAAAAUUGAAAGCAAAAAUAGGAUGACCAAAGGACUACUAUUUUACCUCUUUUCAGAACUCUACAAUAGUAGAAACUAAAUUCCCUUAUGGAUCUCAGGGGGAAAUAAUGUGCCUGUUGAAGGGGCUCAGUGUUUGGUGUCCAGGCUGGCAUUUUUCAGGUGAGGGUUUCAUACUGACAGGAGGCAGGCUCCUAAAACAAGGCGGUAGCACCAGCACCAUGACUAGGGCUGCUUUAAAACAAAUUUCUAGGACUUACGCUCUUUGGGCCUGAUUUGUUAAUGCUUAUGAGGUAAUGAUAUUAUGUUUGAGAAGCUCUACUUCUAGUAUACCUCAAUGCUCAGAGAGAAAGCCAACAAUACAAUCAGGAAACCACAAUAUUGACAAAACUUAGUACUACCACCAAGAUUGUUCCUCUUGCCUUGGCACUACUAAAAAACUUUACCUUUGUUACUAAAGUCAUGGUGAAUACAGAUUUUGCAUUUCUCAUGUAAGCAGCUAUAUAAGCUAGGGUUCUACAAGCCUUAGAUGAAAGGAAAAACUUUGCUGGAAGCCCUGUAAAAAUCACUUUAUUCACAAUCUGAAGAAUGAAAGACAAAUUUGGCUGUCAAUACAAAAACUGUAGUACAAGGAAGUUCAACUGUUUAAAAAUCUGCACAUCACUGUACAAGUGUUUUUUGAAGGCCUGAAAAUUAAAGCACCAUAGGAUUAACUGCAUAAUUUAGCAAGCACUCUCUACCCCAUGACUGUAAUCAUGUAUGAAGAGCAGAGAUCAGACACUGAGAGGAGAUGGCUUCUGAUUAGCAAGGGGGAAGGGAGUGAGUGUUAUGGAACAGGCAAACCUUGGGCAUGGGGAGAUAAAAGUGAGAAGAGUCAAAAAGAUUGAUUUCUAUAGGCCGGGCACGGUGGCUCAUGCCUGUAAACACUAAUAUUUCAGUGCACUGUUGGUUAAGCCAGAUUGGCUUGGGAACCUGGUAAUGUUUUUAUUUUUAUUUUAAAAAAGGACAGUCUUGAGUCUCAAAAUACCAACACAUCUCUGAUUUAUGUCCCAUUUAUAAGCUGCCUUUACUACUGUCCUGACAUGUGAUCGUCUUUCAUUUGCUUUGGAGCUUAGUGGUGAAGAGAGGGAACAUUUCCAUAACUGAAAAUAAAUGGAGAAAAGUGGUAACUCUUUUGUUUGAGAAUAUUUGAAAUACUAGAAAUAAUGAGGAAAGUACAAGCCUAGCUGAGAAACUAGUUUCAUCACUUGUGGACUUAAAAAAGUAAAGCUAACAGGGUUUAAAGUUGAGAGGCAGUUCACAUCCUAAGUGAUACCUAGAAACCUGCUUUCUUGUUCGCAAAUGAUCAACAUGAACAUACAGAAUGGCUGACAUUUGGACCUUUGGAUAAGCUUAAAACAUGGAUUGUGGAAUGUCUAAUAGAGGGCUUUUCUCUCUUUUUUUUAAUAAUGACUGUCCCACACUUUAAUUCCUCAAUGAUAUGUGGAUGCUAACUAAAUCAGAUGAAAUGUUUUCUUUAAAAUUCUGUAUAUAUUUAAGAAUUUCUAGGAAAUGAUUAUUUAAAAUGGAGUUUCUAAGUAAUUAUUUUCUUUAUAGUUUAGUGGAGUAAGAAAAAUAAAUCUAAAAAAAAACAUCAAAUCUAACCUUUAUCAAAGCCAUCGAGGAGGUUGGUAAAAUACUUUGCAAAAAUCACAGCUCUGAACCACA